GAAAUGCGAUACGUAAUGCGAAUUGCAGAAUUCAGUGAAUCAUCAAAUCUUUGAACGCAAAUUGCGCUUUCUGGAUAGGCCAGGGAGCAUGCCUCUUUGAGCAUCGUUUCUACCCUCUCUCGACGGCUCUCUUGUAGAGUUUUGUUGGGGAUUUUGAGAUGCCUCGUUCGAAAUGAAUGAGCGUCUUUAAGAAGCGUGAGUUCCUAAACUCCUAGUGCAAGACUUCUUCGGAAGUCGCCUAUUAUUAGGUUAGUGUUUCACUAGUGACAUGGAUAAAUUUUUAUUUUAUGUUACUUCAUGUGUUCAUUAAUUUAGUAAUUUGGGUUAACCACGAGGAAACCUGGAUCUCGUAUGAAAAUUCUAAUACUUUUGAAUUAGAUCUCAAAUGAAGCAAGACUAC
rnacentral:misc_RNA from 1 species